GUUUCUGAAUCAUUGCGCUCGGAAGCCGAAGCACUGCGUCGCCGGACGGGAUCAUGGCGAGGGAGGAAGACAAGGGUGAGAUGAAGGUCCCCGAGGAGAUGUUCAAGGAUGUCAAGUUCUUCGUGGUGGGAGACAUCGAUUCCAAGGUUAUUCAACUUCUGAAAGAUGGGAAAGCAAAGGAAGUUUCCUAUAAUGCUCUAGCUUCACACAUCAUUUCAGAAGAUGGGGAUAAUCCAGAAGUUGGUGAAUCUCGUGAAGUGUUUGAUCUUCCAGUAGUAAAACCUUCCUGGGUGACUUUGUCUGUUCAGUGUGGAGCUCUUCUUCCAGUAAAUGGCUUUUCCCCAGAAUCCUGUCAGAUCUUUUUUGGAGUUGCCGCUUGUCUGUCUCAGGUUUCCUCUGAAGACCGGAAUAUAUUGUGGGCUUUGAUUACAUUUUAUGGUGGGGAUUGCCGUUUGAGCCUCAAUAAAAAAUGUACUCAUUUGAUUGUGCCUGAGCCAAAAGGGGAAAAAUACGAAUGUGCUAAUAAACGAGAGAACAUUAAAAUCGUGACACCUGACUGGAUUCUAGAUUCUAUAUCUGAUAAAACCAAAAAAGAUGAGGCUCCCUAUCACCCCCGUUUAAUAAUAUAUGAGGAAGAAGAAGAGGAGGAGGAGGAGGAAGAAAAUGAAGAACAGGAUUCCCAAAAUGAAGGGAGUACUGAUGAAAAGUUAUCAAGUCCACUAUCUUCUCAAGAAGGAUCUCCUUUGGGCAAUCGAACUUUUUCUCCUAAGUCUAUUGAUGCUGACAAAAACAAAGGAGAACUUAUGUUUGACGACUCAUCAGAUUCCUCUCCUGAAAAGCAUGAAAGAAAUUUGAACUGGACCACAGCUGAAGUUCCACAGACUGUUGCCAGAAAACACACAUUGACUCCAGGCAAGGAUUCUGGAUUGAUUAAUUUGUGUGCCAAUGUCCCACCUGUCCCAGGCAAUAUUUUGUCCCCUGAUAUCAGAAGUAAUAUAAUGGCUUCAGUACAAACUCCGCAAAGUUCUGGACAUCCUGAAAUGAUGGCAGCAUGGAGUCCUGCAGUCCGGACACUAAGAAAUAUUACCAAUAAUGCUGAUAUUCAGCAGGUUAAUAGGCAAUCAAAUGUAGCACAUAUCUUGCAGUCACUUUCAGCACCCACAAAAACUUUGGAGCCACAGGUAAACCACAGUCAGCAGGGGCAUCCCAAUGCAGUCUUGCUUAGCCAGGUCAAACUGGCCCCAGAAACACGCUUAGUGCAGCCGCCUCCGUCUCAGCAUCACCAGCCUCAGCAGCAGCAGCAGCAGCAGCAGCAGCAGCAUCACCAUCUCUUGCACCUCCAAGCCCAGCAGCUCCUGCAGUUGCAGCAACAGUCCCAGCCGCCACAGGCUCAGAUUCCCCAACCACCUUUCCCACAGCAGCCACAUCAGUUUGCACAACAGCAGCAAGUCCAUCAGCACCAGUUUCCUCAGCAGCAGCAGCAACAGCAGCCGCCGCAGCAGCAGCUGCCCUUCCCUUCCCAACUGAUACACUCCCAGCAACAAAUGCAUCGCCCCCCACAGCCCAUGCCGUUUCAGCAGCAGCAGCAGCAAUUGCAUCGGUUGCAACAGCAGCACCUGCAGCGGCAGCAGCAAAUGCAGCUUCAGCAACAAAACCUUCAGCAGUUUCAGCACCAGCAGCAGCAACAACUUCAGCAGCAACAACUCCAACAGCAGCACUUACAACAAAUGCAGCAGCAGCAGCAGCAACAACAACAACAAAUGCAAAAUCAGGCAUCACAACACUUGACUCCAACAUCUCAGACGCUACACCAUCAAGUUCCAAUUCAGGCACCACAGAAUCAUCAGCAGCAACAACUGCAGCAGCAUCAACUGUUUGGACAUGACCCAUCUAUAGAAGUUCCUGAAGGUUAUUUUUUAAUGGGUUGUAUCUUUGCAAUUGCUGAUUACCCUGAACAGAUGUCUAAUAAACAACUGUUGGCAACUUGGAAAAGGGUAAUCCAGUCUUAUGGUGGUACAGUUGAUCCUACACUUACAAACCGAUGUACACAUCUUCUUUGUGAAAGUCAGCUUAGUAAUAUGUAUGCACAGGCUUCGAAAGAAAGGAAAAGAUGUAUCACUGCCCACUGGUUGAGUUCUGUGCUAAGAAAGAAGAAAAUGGUACCACCCCAUCGAGCUCUUCAUUUUCCUGUAGCAUUUCCACCCGGAGGAAAACCAUGUUCUCAGCAUAUAAUUACUGUAACAGGUUUUGUGGAUGGUGACAGAAUCGAUCUCAAGUUGAUGGCCAACCUAGCAGGAGCAAAAUACACAGGCUAUCUUUGUCGCAGUAAUACCAUUCUUAUCUGUAAAGCGCCAACUGGCUUAAAGUAUGAAAAGGCUAAAGAGUGGAGGAUACCUUGUGUUAAUGUACAAUGGCUCUGUGAUAUUUUACUUGGAAACUUUGAAGCUUUGCGCCAAAUGCAACACAAUCGAUACACAGUUUUCAAUCUUCAAGAACCCUUUGCUCCUAAUCAGCAUCUAGUUCAAAAUCUUCUUGAUGCUUGGAGGGUCCCUUUAAAGGUGCCACCUGAAUUUCAAAUGAACAUGAGAUUACCACUUAAACCAAAGCAGAAUGAACCAGUAAUUCAACCUUCAAUCAAGAGGCCAAGAAUUGAAGACUUUCCAACACCUAUAAAAAAACUCCCAACAGAAUUGACACCAGUGGUUCUUUUUACAGGAUUUGAGCCAGCUCAAGUGCAUCACUACAUAAAGAAAGUCUAUAUUCUUGGAGGUAACAUAACAGAGUCUGCUCAGAAGUGUACUCAUGUGAUAGCUAGUAAAGUAACCCGCACUGUAAAAUUCCUGACAGCAGUUUCAGUUGCAAAACAUAUUGUAAUUCCGGAAUGGUUGGAGGAAUGUUUCAAGAGUCAGAAAUUUAUAGAAGAACAAAACUACAUACUCCGAGAUGCAGAGGCUGAAGUCCUUUUCUCUUUCAGUUUGGAAGAAUCUCUAAAGAGAGCGCAAGCGACACCACUCUUUAAGGGGAAAUAUUUCUAUAUUACUCCUGGAAUUUCUCCUAGCCUACAUAUUAUGAAAUCAAUUGUGGAAUCUGCAGGUGGGAAGUUAUUAUCUAGACAACCUUCUUUCAGAACAGUUAUGGAACAUAAACAAAAUAAGAGCUUGUCAGAGAUUAUCCUUAUCGCUUGUGAAAAUGAUCUACACUUAUGUCGAGAAUACUUUACCAGAAACAUAGGGCAGCAAGAACAGAUAGGAUUGGCAGCCUGCAUAACAAUUGACCAUUGGGAUGAUUUUUAAAAUAUUGCUGAAAAAAAAUCCUGAUACAAAAAUAAUAUUACAGUAUAUGCUGACAGUAUUUGCAUUUCAGUCUUACUUUGGCAAAUUCCUUCUGGCCAGAUAAUGUACAGAUGUCCACAGUGCAGAAUUUGUUCUGACUGGAGUCCUUACUCAAACACUGGAUUAUGAUUCAUAUAAAUUUACUUGACUCUAAGUAAAAUGCCUUAUUUUGCUUCAAAUUCCUUGAAGCCUUCCCCUGAGCUUUUCCAGCCUGUGGAUUAUUUAAUCAGGACUUCAUUGAAUUCUUGGUUUCUCUUGUUUUGCUGAAGAGCGAAGAACAGUUGAAGCAGGAAAGGAAAAUCUUACUGCAUCUGUUUAGGAUGUGUCACCUUUUGUUAUUAAGCUAGCCAUUUUUAUACUAUACUGUAGACCAGAGAAAUUACUUUUUAUAUUGCAAAAUAGUUUUCCGGUUUUAAGUUUUAAUAAUCGGCAAUAUUCAACCAAAAUCAUAAUUAAAAUUUAAAGGAAGAAGAGCUUAUGGCAUGUUUACAUUAAGGAAGCAAAUAUUUUGUACUUUAUUUUAUUAUGCUGUUUUAUUAGUACUAUCCCAUGUUUUAAAUAAACAUAGUUUUAAAUGAUGUUUCCUUAAAAUUUAGUGGUUUUUAUUUUUGAAAUGUUGUGCAAUUAUAACACUUUCUGGUAAGAGUAAACACUGUUCUCUCAAGUAGUAUAAGAUAUUCUUUCUUUCAUUUGUUUUACCAGAUGUGUUUGAAUAUUAAAGUCCGGGUAUUUUAAGCAGAAUUUAUUAAUGUUAUGUGUGUUCCUGCUGCAGUUAGAUUGAAUUCACUCAUAUUCUGCAGUGAUAUACUUUAUUUGUAAUUUUUAUGGAACAAAUACGCAAAAUAGAAUUCAUGGAGGAAGUUAUUUCAUUCAAGUUUAACUUGUCUUAAAAUGUUAUGUUAAUCUAGUGUUAAUUUAAUCCAUUCAAUUUUAAAUUGGGUAUUCGUCAUUUUAGGAGUAAUUCAGAUGUAACUAUUUCAGCAAGUUUGCAUAAGUUCCAGUUAGCUUGCAGUUUUAUCCAAUUCUAAAGACUUUUGUUGAAUAGAUAAAAUGUUAAAAUCAUUUCUAUGUGUUUGGUUUUCUUUUUAAAAUACUUUUUCAUGUUUGUAACUAUGGUAACACUUGAGUCCUUCUAUUGACUCUUUGAAUUGACAAUAGAUUUCCCAUAAUUGUAAGAAAUUUGGUGCCUUGGGUUUGAAAGUAUGAAAAAGUACUAGCAAUUUACAUAGACUGAAAUAAAGAUACAUUUCUGAAUGUGGCUCUUAGAAAAGAGCCAUGUAUGGCACCAUGUCUUCACACAGAAAAUCUACCAAAACAUUUGAAGUAGGGUGCCUGGUUGAACCUGAUAGGAAUGAUUUAACAAUUUACCCUUAACUUACUGAACACCGCCAUGUAGUUUUGAAGACAGUGCAUUAAUUUCCAUCAGUUAAGUUAGGUAACUUCUCUUCAUACAUGUUUUCAAGGAACUGACAGUGCCAAAUUACAACAAUAUCUUUGGUCACGUGUGUGUGUGUGUGUGUGUGUGUUAAGUUUAAUUGUUGACCCAUGGCGGCCAAUCAAAUGGGGCUUUUAAAAGGUGGCGGGCUUUACAACUCUUUAGGUUGAAAUGAAUGGGCAAACCCCAUUCAUUCACCCCUCUCAAGAUUGGCGGCUGAUUUGCAAGCUAAACAUACA